rnacentral:lncRNA from 1 species
AAAUAUUAAAAAAAAAUUGAAGGGUGGAGGGUUUGGGGUAAAUGAGAGGUGAGAUGGGAAGGGAAUAAAAGUUUUAGGGAAAAAGUGAGAGGGAGUAAAAAUUUUGGGAGAAAAUAAAAUGUUUUGAGGGUUUUUGGGAGUAAAAUUUUGAGAAAAAGUAAAUGGGAGAGUAAUUUUUUGGUGGGAAAUAGAUUUUGGGUAGAUUGGGGGGUUGGG